UAUCCAAGCAUAGGGUUCGUGUAUUUCGACAACAGUCUUACAAAUAAUAUAGAAUAACACAAUACAAGACUUCUUUAGUUCACACAUUUAUAUGUUGCCCUAUAGACAUAUGCGAUGAACUCUUGUUAAAAAACAUCUUUUAUAAAAUCUUGUAAAUCGUUGAGUUGUAUUAUCAACAAUAUCCUAAAACCCAUAUUUAUAAAGGGUUAUAAUUCCUUAAUAUACAAUGUUCACUAUCGAAAAAUCUCUCUCUUAGCAGGGACCAUUCAAAUGACAAGUCCAAAUUAACCGUAUUCUCUUUUUGGAUAACAGAAAGGAGAAACCCCUAAAAUUACUUGAAACCCAGAUUUAUAAAGGGUUUUAAGUUGUCAAAACUCAAUAUUGUUCACUAUGGAAAUUGUUUCUCUUAGAUCGACAUGUUCAAAUGAGAAGUCUAAAGCAAUUUUUUUUGAUUUUUUGAUAAGAGAAAGAACAAAAUCAAAGAUUUACUCGAAACAAACAAAAGAAUACAAGAAUUAGAGACAUACGAGUUGUGAAUCUUGAACAGGAAUCAACAUUUGAAGGCUUUGAAUUGCGAUUCUCUGUAAUCCGUUUUCGUCGCCGGUUGUGUGAGAGAGAGAUGGCGGAUCUCGACGGAGACGGCGGAUCUCGACGGUAAGUCUGAGAGAAGAUGGAUCUCAAAAAGAGAGAGGAAGAGUCGAUGAUUGAGGAGAAGAUAAGUCGGGCAUGGAAGUAAUGGAUUUACCGGCGAUGUUGCAAUACCGGAUCUCCAUCACACAUGGAGGCGCGUGUCGGCGUGUUGGACAAUGCAAACUUGCAGAUCCAUGCAAAAAGCAUAGGAUGAAGUGUGGAAAAGAGCUUCAGAUGUCUUGACGUGUGACUUCAAACACAUAGCUUGAAGGCGGUUAGGCGGUUUCAGAUUAGUAAAUUGGAUCUUGGCCUUUAGAUUUCUUUUUUGUCUGGCUUGUAGUUUUGAUGGAUAUUGUGCUUUAUGAACGUACUUGUAAUCUCGUUAGCCUAUAAUGGGGUUUUAAUGAUAUGACAAUUUGACAAAAAGAAAAAAUUAUGUGAAUGAGAAUAAUUUAACCCCCAAAAAAAUUAUCACCUAUAUCAAUUAUCAAUCAUUACGUAAUCACAUACAUAAAGAAUAUUAAUAUAAUCCAAAUGUAAUUUUAACUAAGCGAAUUAAACUGUUAACAUAACGAGAUAUAUCACGUAACAUGUGUAUGCAGUUAACAUUAUACUCAAAUUGUUAUUGUCAAAAUAGAGAAUCAGACGUCAGAAUUGGGUAACCUAGUUCCAAAAACCGACCUGUUAUAAAUAGAAAACCAAGCUGUUACAAAUAGGAGACCAACAACCCAUUCCAAUUUAAACUAAUCUGAUCAAAUCUAGUCCAUGUUUCAAUUGAUAUGGAUCAAUUCAAUUGGUCUAGGUCUAGGUCUAUCUUCUAUUUGAAAGUAUUAGUUUUUGAAUACUAUACUGUCGGAUUUAACUAUAUAACACAUGUUAAUACAUUUUCAUAUUGACCAUAUAGUUAUUUGAUCUAGAAUCUCUUAAUUAACCAAAAAUUUGCGACCAAUCAAAAUGAAAAUUCAAAGAUAAAUUUAUAAAA